UGGAGAGUUUGAUCCUGGCUCAGAUUGAACGCUGGCGGCAUGCCUUACACAUGCAAGUCGAACGGCAGCAUGAUCUAGCUUGCUAGAUUGAUGGCGAGUGGCGAACGGGUGAGUAAUACAUCGGAACGUGCCCUGUAGUGGGGGAUAACUAGUCGAAAGAUUAGCUAAUACCGCAUACGACCUGAGGGUUGAAAGUGGGGGACCGCAAGGCCUCAUGCUAUAGGAGCGGCCGAUGUCUGAUUAGCUAGUUGGUGAGGUAAAGGCUCACCAAGGCGACGAUCAGUAGCUGGUCUGAGAGGACGAUCAGCCACACUGGGACUGAGNACCCGCC
rnacentral:rRNA from 1 species